GCCCUGGGCAGAUGUCCCUGUCAGAUGUUCCUGUCAUCAGGCUUGGGACAGUGAGCAAGGCAGUCCCCAUGCCACCAGCAGCCAGACAUGGUCUCCGUGGAGCUCCUGACUGAGAAUGUGUACUGUGUUAGGGCUCUCAUGUGGAAUUCAUACAAAGAAAUCAAAAGAGCCCUUUAUGGUUUGAACUAUGGCCUCAGGUUAAAUCCUUCCCACAUUUGUACCUUCAUAUUCAGAGGUGCCAUCGUCAAGUCUAUUAUAAAUGAAAAUGAAGAGUUUGAUGAGCAUGAAGAACAUGAAAAGGUUUAUAGAAUAUGCCCAACUGAUAAGCAUUUUGUGGAUGUUACAGACUUCAACCGUCCUGAAACGGCUGAUUUCUAUGACAAUAAACCUGAGUUCUCCUUUACGAAGAUCUAUUUCUCAUACGUUCUUGGAAAAGCUAAGCAAAUCCAUAUUCUCAUGGUCAUCCCUAGACAUCUCUCACACUAUCACAGUGGUAAAACUAUCAGAAAGAUGUACUUAAUCUUCUAGCAGUACACAUUCAGAUCCAG
rnacentral:lncRNA from 12 species